UGGUUCCACCUCCUACCUAUAAUGGAGAUGGGGACUUGUGGGGUGACAUUGUGCCGCUUCCAGGCUUUUAGCAGGCAACUUCUCCUGGCUCGGAUGAUCUAGAGCAGUGAUUUUCCAGCAGUUCCUGGGGGUCUGGUGAGAAGAAGACAGGCCUGGAGUUGAAGGAGAGAAAAAAGGCUGGGCUGGCCUGUUGGAAGGAGACUUCCACCUCUGCAAGCAUCCCCAUCUUGUUUGGAUUGCAAACUCAGUUGCCAGCCAAGCAAGAUGAGGGGAACGGCUUUGGACUCGGGCUGACUUGGACCACAUCCCAUCUCUGCCGCCAUCUGAGCUCUGUGACCGUGAAGUGCUCCUACCACCCUUCUGAGCUUUUGUUUUCUUCACCUGUAAAAGUGCAGGAAGAAUACUUACCUGUCACCAGAAUAUUCCAAGAAUUAGAAUUAAUGUUUGGAAAGUUGUUGACACCUAGCAGGUACUCAAAAAAUGGUGGCUAUUACUACUACAUUCUACAGUCUCUGCGCUACUUUGAAAGGACUUGCUUCUAGGGGAGCUUAUUUCUAAUGGGGAGAUAUUUUGGUUUUGAAGUAAAAUCUAUACCGUGUUAGAUGGGAGGUGUGCUUUAGAGAAAAAAUAAAGCAGGGAUGGGAGACUGAGAUGGCUGGGGAGCCUGAGGAAAGCCCCAUUUAUAGGUCUAAGAAUGAGAGAGAGUUUCUUUCUUAAAUUCCCUCUCCCUACUUUAUCAAAGAGAUUUUACUUCCAAAUAAGUGUAAACGGGAAAAGGGAACAGAGCCUGAAAGACACUCAAAACAGACACUCAAAAAUGCUGUCCUAGGGAGUCAGCUGGGGUGUCAUCACUGACGUGGGACUUAGGGUGUUGAGCUGGAGUCCUGGUUUGUCAUUUGAAAAGAGAAAUCCUGAUCAAGUUGUUGUACUGCUCUUUGACUCUAUUUCCUUAACUGUAAAUUAGAGGUAAGAAUCCCUGUCUCACGUGCACGAGCAGGAGAGGCUUUCUGGUCUGUUGGGAUUCUCAGAUUCACAAGGAUCAGGACGUGGCCAUUGAAAGCUGCCAUCCCAAGAGGCAAAACUAUGGAAGAUAGGAAGGAAAUCCGUACUUACCUCACUCUGCUCCCUCCUCCUUUCCGUGCCUGCGUGCACACACACACGCAUGCACACACCCUGAGGUUGUCAGGGGACUAGAGGUGUUGUCCUUGAAAGUGAAAGUCAUUCCAAGGCAAAGGAAAUGUACUGGUGUUGAGAAGGUUCGGUAGGGCCCCUUCCAACGGGAAUGGCUGACUCGCCAUGUCCUCUAAAGAUGCUGCCUUGAUUCGUGGAUUUCAGCAUUGUCCAAGCUCUGUGGCACCAUGGACUGGUUGUAUGUCACUGACAAGCAAAUGCUUAGUCCUGUGCUGUAUAUAUUUACUGUACCAUAUAAAUAAUAAACACUAAUAACUCACUUCA